GAUCCCUUCGGGGUGACGCUUGUGGAACGAGCGGCGGACGGGUGAGUAACACGUGGGCAACCUGCCUGUAAGACUGGGAUAACUUCGGGAAACCGGAGCUAAUACCGGAUAAUACUUCUUCCUGCAUGGGAGAAAGUUGAAAGAUGGCUUUUAGCUAUCACUUACAGAUGGGCCCGCGGCGCAUUAGCUAGUUGGUAGGGUAACGGCCUACCAAGGCGACAAUGCGUAGCCAACCUGAAAGGGUGAUCGGCCACACGGGGACUGAAACACGGCCCAAACUCCUACGGGAGGCAGCAGUAGGGAAUCUUCCGCAAGGGACGAAAGUCUGACGGAGCAACGCCGCGUGAACGAUGAAGGCCUUCGGGUCGUAAAGUUCUGUUGUUAGGGAAGAACAAGUACCGUUCGAAUAGGUCGGUACCUUGACGGUACCUAACGAGGAAGCCCCGGCUAACUACGUGCCAGCAGCCGCGGUAAUACGUAGGGGGCAAGCGUUGUCCGGAAUUAUUGGGCGUAAAGCGCGCGCAGGCGGUUCCUUAAGUCUGAUGUGAAAGCCCACGGCUUAACCGUGAAGGGUCAUUGGAAACUGGGGAACUUGAGUACAGAAAAGGAGAGUGGAAUUCCACGUGUAGCGGUGAAAUGCGUAAAUAUGUGGAGGAACACCAGUGGCGAAGGCGACUCUCUGGUCUGUAACUGACGCUAAGGCGCGAAAGCGUGGGGAGCGAACAGGAUUAGAUACCCUGGUAGUCCACGCCGUAAACGAUGAGUGCUAGGUGUUA
rnacentral:rRNA from 1 species